rnacentral:rRNA from 1 species
CACGCUGUAAACGAUGAAUACUAGGUGUGGGGGGACUGACCCCUUCCGUGCCGCAGUUAACACAAUAAGUAUUCCACCUGGGGAGUACGGCCGCAAGGUUGAAACUCAAAGGAAUUGACGGGGGCCCGCACAAGCAGUGGAUUAUGUGGUUUAAUUCGAAGCAACGCGAAGAACCUUACCAGGUCUUGACAUCGUGCGCAUACUACAGAGAUGUGGGAAGCCCUUCGGGGCGCACAGACAGGUGG